CUAGGCACCUCCUACUAGAUGUCGUCCAUGACAGAAAACAACGUGAAAGCUGGUAGGAGUAGCUUUAAAAAAAAAUCAAGUACAGUAUGAAUACUGUCGUCUAUGAAGUUUUUUUUUAAUUCAACAAGACUACCUGAUCGCCUGAGGGUAUGCAAGACUUGUGUAGACUUUCACAGACUACCUGAUCACCUGCUCUACUAGGAGAAUAGACAGUAUUAGUCACAAGACCGCCAUAGUGGAAGACAUGGCAAGAAGAGGGGGAUGGGGUGUGGUCUUGUCUGAUGGGGGAAGGGUGAGGGAAGUAUGAAGGGAGCAGGGGUGGAAUUCAUAAGUGGGAGGGGUCUGUUUAAGAACAGUGGCAACACAAGUAUACUAAAAACAGUUUAUAAUUAUAGUAAAGUAUAACAUCUUUGGUGGAAAUUAUGUAUUGUACUUUUAUUUUUUUUAUUCAUGCCACAUCCUAGAAAAGUUUCAUCUGAAACUCCAGUGCUUGUGAUCUGUGGGCUCUCUUUGUAGCUGUUAAGCAUUUAAACUGUUCAAAAGCUAUAGUUGUUCAUAGCAGCAGAGCAACAUAAGUGUCUAAAAACCAAAUUGUCUAUAGAUAGUGGUGAUUUGUUCGUUUUGUGGCUUCAAAUUUAGGAUCUAAAUCGUAAAGGAAAAAGGAAGAAACAAAAAAAACAGAAAGGUAAGACUCGUUUUAGGCCAGACUGAACAAAAAAGAUGCUCAACUGCUUCAAGUGCUAAAUUGUUCUGAUCAUAGGUUAAAGUGAUUUAGUAGACCUAUAUGUACAACAUAUGCAUCCAGAGCCAAAAUAACAUAUGCAAAUUUAUUCAUCAUUGGGAAAAAUUACAUUUACUGACAUUUACUCAUUUUCGCACAUCCCAUGAGCUAAUUUCAGGUCGGACAUUUUGUCUCGCUGGCACGUCUGCAGGCGAACUCUUUUUCAAUUAAAAUGUCUGCUUGUGCCACUGUAGUUCCACCAAUGACCAAUAGAGGUCUUUAAAAAUAUAUAUGUGAUUAAAAUGUUUAUGCCU